CCCAAUCCCCACGCCCCCUCUCCCCAAUCCCCUCGCUCCAUCUCCCCAAUCCCCUCCUCCCCUGCCACCAAUUUGCUGGUCUCUUCCAUGGAUGGAACAGGGAGAGGCGACGGGAGUGCGCCAUGGUUGAGGAGGUGGAGCUGAUGGCUGAGGAUGCGGGGCUCGACAUGAAGGAGCACGCAGGGAAGAUGACGAACCACGCCAUCUACAUCGUGCGCAUCGCCGGCGGCAUCCCCGCGGACAGCUCCUCUGUCUCCACCACGUUCUUCUCUCCUCUGGCUGUGUCGAUUUGGCUCUGAUGUACCAUGUAGCCACCAUGGAUAUUUCUUGGUAUUUUCUUUCUAGGAAUUAUUUAGUUCAUUUUUUGUGGGAGUCAUUGGCACUUAAACAACGAAUCUAGAGCCAAUAGUUUCUUCCAGCUAUUCUGUUGAUGACUUUUCCUUUGUUUAGAUCCAGAUUUACUAUGAUUUAUUUAAGUGUGAUAUUGGUGCUGUCUUGUUGCAGGUUUGCAAAUAGGAAUUUAGGGAUUCCCACAAAAUCUUGCAGAUUCGAGGGCCAGCCACGCCAUGACAGAAACUAGAGCUUAGAAAUAAUCGGUUCAUUUGGUGUAGGUUGAUCUCAUACUUCACGGAUGACUUCUCCCUGUCUAUGAUAUGUUUAUAUGGAAAUAUAUAUACAUAUAUCUGUUGUGAUACCUGGAGAGAUGAAGCCUCUCUUCAAGGCAUGCACAUCAGCAUGGCAUUAGCGAUAACAAUAGCAGUCGUGGCAUAGCCACCAACUUCUGCGAGCGCUGGUGGUCUUGGUGGCUGAACCAAUAGUCCCAUUGUGUGCCCUCAGUUUACCCUUCCCCAAAUUAAGAUAUGGAGAUUGCCAGCAGGCUUGCUAAUUUUGUUGACAACGCGCCCAAAGCAACUCAGAGAUGGUGCAGGGGAAUGCGCUCACUAAUCUGGGUAUAUUUUGACUGCCAUAUCGUUCCAAACCUCACAGUCAUCUCGGCCAUUCAUUAAUGGAUGACAGGAUUCACCUUCCACACAUGCGAAGUAUACAUACCCUAUAUAGACUGAACCUGAUGACUUUUAGAUUCAGAAAUCUGGUGCUGCUCCUAUUUAUUCCAAAAAUUCAAUGAAGAUGGUGGCCAUCUAUUUCACAAGUGCAGCCUUGUGUGUAUUGUGGAUGAUCUGAAACAAUGUGCUAUGAGAUCAAGUGGAAGCCACCGGUAAACGAUGUUCUGAAGAUAGAUAUUAAUGGGAGCAUGGACCCAGCCAGUGCGUCUGGUGGCAGGGGUUUGGUCUUUACGGAUGAGCUCGGAGUUGUGGCCAGUUCAGGUGCUGGCCAUAUGGAGCAUGUGCAGGACGUUCUCCACACUGAGGCAGAGGCCUACCUGCAAUCACUGUUUGAAGCUCAAAAUCUGGUGUAUUUCUCGUGUUCACGUCGAAACUGACUCACAACUUUUGGUGCAAGCGAUCAAGGGAAGCAAGCAAUAGUGCUAUUUUUAGGGAUAUUAAAUUUCGAAUUUCGUUAAACUUCUCUAUUUUAAGUAUUUUGUAAUGCAUGACCUCGGGCCUGUAAUAAAGUGGCGGGCUCUAUGGCGAUGCAUGGCGUUGAGAUUAGGGCUCAGCCCCCCAUCCUUUUGGCCGGGUUGUGUCCUGACUUCACAUCUGAUUAGGUACCCUGAGAGGGAAAGCGAUAGACUGAUAUAAGACACAUGAUAUGUUAUGUUCUUUUCCUCCUCUUCGUCAACUGAUAAUUUUUGAAAUGAAUAGUUAUUCACUUUUAAUUUAUUGCUUGCUUAUUAUCGAUGUUUACAAAUGGAUACACAAUAAACACGGGUACCUCAAGCCUAUUUGGAAGAGUGCUAUUGUUUGUGCCUAUUUUGUUCUACACUUACCGCUUACUCAUAAUAGAUUUUUGGCAUGGUUAAUAUAUAUAGUUGUUUGCAAGUGGGAAAGUCACUAUUUUUUUUUGCAUUACAGUUACAUCUUAGCAGUUUUUCCUACCUGCUUACUUAACCUUCCGUUGGUUUUCAUGGCUAAAACCAAUUUCUAUUCAGUACUGCUCCAAUUCAUGUUCAUAUAGUACUUAAACAAGAAGCAAAUGAGUGAUAUGUGGUAUUGAGGUUUUGAGGUUUUCCUUCUGUUUCAGAUGAAAUAAUUGUUCUAUAGGGCAAGGAUUAAUUUUCUGCUUCAGGGACAAGCUAAGAUGCCUCAAAGGUCAUAUGAGCUCCUCCAAUUGAAAUAUAGUUUGAUUUUUGUUGCUAUCUAACUUGAUGAGAUGGAGAAACCACAAACAGCGAUGGUAAGACUGUUAUCAUCUGAUCUGGAAAGCCUUGCUCCAGGAAUCGCUGCCUCGGAUUGAGUGAGUCUGAAGAUGUGCUUUAGUCAGCACCUAAGUUGAGUUUGAAGAGGUGAAUUUUUUGCACACUAAACAUGUGCGCUGACAGGCGGUCAAUUAUAUUCAAUCCAGCAGGAGCUAUGAAAUAAGAUGGUAAGACAAAUUUAGAAGCUUUUGUAUAGUCUACAAAUAUCACUUUGACAGGAAAUGAGAAGCUUUAUCACUUGGCAGGCCAAAUAAAUAUCACUUUGGAAUUUUGGUUCCCACCAGAGCAACCAAAUAUGAAGCUAAGAUUAAGGAGAAAGCGAGACCAACAAAAACCUUUUUUUGUGUAAAAAGGCCACCUCUGUAUAACCAAAAUGAAUAGUUGGUUGUAUAUAAGUUCUUCUACUCAAAUAAUGAUUUUA